rnacentral:piRNA from 1 species
UGAGCCCUGUGUCCUGAACCUCAUUCCCAG